AGUGAACGCUGGCGGUAGGCCUAACACAUGCAAGUCGAACGGCAGCACAGUAAGAGCUUGCUCUUACGGGUGGCGAGUGGCGGACGGGUGAGGAAUACAUCGGAAUCUACUUUUUCGUGGGGGAUAACGUAGGGAAACUUACGCUAAUACCGCAUACGACCUACGUGUGAAAGCAGGGUAUCUUCGGACCUUGCGCGAUUGAAUGAGCCGAUGUCGGAUUAGCUAGUUGGCGGGGUAAAGGCCCACCAAGGCGACGAUCCGUAGCUGGUCUGAGAGGAUGAUCAGCCACACUGGAACUGAGACACGGUCCAGACUCCUACGGGAGGCAGCAGUGGGGAAUAUUGGACAAUGGGCGCAAGCCUGAUCCAGCCAUACCGCGUGGGUGAAGAAGGACUUCGGGUUGUAAAGCCCUUUUGUUGGGAAAGAAAAGCAGCAGGUUAAUACCCCGCUGUUCUGACGGUACCCAAAGAAUAAGCACCGGCUAACUUCGUG
rnacentral:rRNA from 1 species